rnacentral:rRNA from 1 species
UGUUCGCCCAUUAAAGCGGUACGCGAGCUGGGUUCAGAACGUCGUGAGACAGUUCGGUCCCUAUCCGUCGUGGGCGUAGGAAAUUUGAGAGGAGCUGUCCUUAGUACGAGAGGACCGGGAUGGACACACCGCUGGUGUACCAGUUGUCUUGCCAAAGGCAUCGCUGGGUAGCUAUGUGUGGACGGGAUAAGUGCUGAAAGCAUCUAAGCAUGAAGCCCCCCUCAAGAUGAGAUUUCCCAUUACGCAAGUAAGUAAGAUCCCUCAAAGACGAUGAGGUAGAUAGGUUCGAGGUGGAAGUGUGGUGACACAUGGAGCUGACGAAUACUAAUCGAUCGAGGACUUAACCA